GUUAGAACCGCCUAAACUUACCCUAACUCUAGCAGUAGCUUUACUUUCGUAUCUCUUUCCCGCGAUCUCUGCCUGCUCUUUAUGUAAAGAAAAAAAACCAAGUCAAUCCACAACUACUUCCCGAACGGAAGUCAGAAGAAUCCCCAUUUUCCUCACCUCAAACCCUAAUACUAGGCAGUUGAUCUUGUCUCUCAAUCUCUCAUAAUUCUUUCAUUCCAUUCAUGUUAUGAAACCAUUGAAUCAAAUAUCUAUUCAUGUUAAGAUCAAUCGAAGUUAUCUUUUCUAAACCCAUAUCUCAUAAACUAAAUCCAUCCUCAGAAACCAAACCCAAUCUUCAGUACUCCAGAUUUCGUAUUGAACCCUAGAAUAUAGAUUUUUUCGACAUAAUCUCCAGCAAACUAAUCUCUGCAUGACAUCUUGCUGACAAGUCCAAGAAGAUGAGUUUAUAAGACCCUAGAUUCCUUGUUUAUGCUGAUGAUAUAUUGAGAAGAUUAGUCCAAAGCAGAGAAGCAGGAAGAAUUAGAUUUUCGGGGUUCUCAAGCAGAAUGGCUUGUGGUAGCCUGAAGAUAAGCAUUGCUAGAGUAUGAGAGAUCCAUCCCUUUUAUCUUUAAGUGAAAUUGAGUACACUUAAAAGCUUGAGGCAGCUGGCCUGAAAUUUGUGGUGGGGAUGAAAGUGGAACGUACUUGAGAGCUUCCAAGUCACCAUUUUUAGACGGAAGUGCAAUUCCAUCCCAUGUUCAAAUUAAGACCUGGACGGCCUUCUGCUUUAAAUCUAUCGCUGAAGCAUGAAUUUUUUUCCAGUAUGGAUAGCGAUUCUUUUUCUCCGGCUAGACUGUAAAAGUUCAUAUUUUAUAGUAUAUAGUUUAAAAUCUCUCUUAACAGUAAAAAUUGCGCAACUGUAGGUCUUAUAUUGCCAGCGAGCGGGGAAGUUGCAAGCGUACAUUGACAAGCAGCAACAUUGAAACUAGGACAGAAGUUGAUUUUCUUCGGUCGUCAUCUGAUACUUUUCAUGUUUGAUUCUUCACAAGACUAAACUUUAUGCUGCUGCGCUUGCUCCAUUCAAGGCUUACGAAGGAAACUUCUGGGGUGCCAAAACAAUCCCAAGCACAGCAUGAGAUGCUCAACAUGCUGAAGCCAUGGCUCUUCUUGCAGCCGUACUAUUGGCUAGCGAGCUGGAACUACAGUUUACUUCGUACGUGACUGGAGUUAUUACCAACUCUAUCAAUGCUUCUAAGUCUAGUGUUUAGCGGACUACUAUCGUUCUGAAGAUGUAUGUUAUGCUAGUAGUGUUCAAAUCACCAUAGUUAACCAUUGUUAUAGUGGUUUCUGUCAUGUUUUCUGGAUUUUUGGUGUAAAUAAUGUUGAUAGUAUUGAAUAUUCGAAAUAAAAUAGUCUUCAGGUUUCUGUGCAUGGACAGGAAUCAAUUUAUUUUGCAACAUUUGAUUAGGUCUUAUUUGGAAUAAAAUUUCUGUUAAUUCCGGGUAA